rnacentral:rRNA from 1 species
GACGAACGCUGGCGGCGUGCUUAACACAUGCAAGUCGAACGGAAAGGCCUGCUUUCCCUUGUGGAUUGCGGGUGCUCGAGUGGCGAACGGGUGAGUAACACGUGAGUGAUCUGCCCCCAACUUGGGUAUAAGCUUGGGAAACUGGGUCUAAUUCCCGAUAGGACCGCAGGGUGGUGCCUGUGGUGGAAACGGUUUUUCUAGUGGUUGGGGAUGAGCUGGCGGCCUAUCAGCUUGUUGGUGGGGAAAUGGCCUACCAAGGCGGCGACGGGUAGCCGGCCUGGGAGGGUGGACGGCCACAUUGGGACGGAGAUACGGCCCAGACUCCUACGGGAGGCAGCAGUGGGGAAUAUUACACAAUGGGCGGAAGCCUGAUGCAGCGACGCCGCGUGGGGGAUGACGGCCUUCGGGUUGUAAACUCCUUUCGACCGCGAGGAAGCCACCUGGUUGGAAGGGUGGUGACGGUAGUGGUAGAAGAAGCACCGGCUAACUACGUG